GUAGAGGAAGAGGACAUGGUCUUUGUCUUCUUUCUCCUCAGUUGCAGACUCAUUUUUCUCUCAGUCUUCAUAAUUACAUUGUCUGAUUUAGAGUGUGAUUACAUUAAUGCUAGAUCAUGUUGCUCAAAAUUAAACAAGUGGGUAAUUUCCAAGAUUGAUUGGCCAUACUAUUGUCACUGUAUUAUGCGCAUUUUGUUGCAUUGGUUCAUAUUCCUUCUCAACUUACCUCUUGCCACUUGGAAUAUAUAUUGAUUCAUUAUGGUGCCAAGCAGUAACAUAGGAGUGUUUGAUCCAACAGAAAUACACAAUCAAGGAUAGCAAAAGUAACACAUGAAAGACCAUAAUCAAGCUUAAUUUCCACUUGCUCUGUUUUUUCACGUAUCUUUAAACUAUGGUUUUAGCUUCGAUAAAUGACUGA
rnacentral:lncRNA from 1 species